GAUCUCGCGGGCCGAUGAGUGACUCCCCCUAGCGGAUCGUGUGGACGGGCUCCUCAUAGGGUUUGCCGAUCAUGAUGUGGUCAUUAGAAUCUAGUAGGGUCGUGAUUUGAACACAUUGCGGAUGAUAUUCUCACCUGGAUGGAAGUUUUCUUCCACUUCUUACCGACUGGUCCUGAUUGAUGGUGACCUCUUCGACCUUCGCCUUCACCUGAGGCAUCCACGGAGGAUCAGCUACAGGGGCGCAGUCCAGUGCAAUACGUGGGCUCGGAAGGGUAAACUCAAUCAUUGGAGGUGGCACCUGCAGCAAGGACGGGGCAUUUCUGCAAGGAUUCUUCAGAAUUCGUGGCUACACAAAAGCUCCAUUAGCAGAAGCUCCCACGCCAAAGGCAUGGCUUCAACGAAUGUGUCUUCAGAGGCAACAACGGCGCCCUUGAUCAAGG